rnacentral:tRNA from 1 species
UCCCUGAUAGUCUAGUGUUAAGACUCAGUGCUUUUAUCACUGUGGCCUGGGUUCAAACCCUGGUCUAGAAA